rnacentral:rRNA from 1 species
UACGUAGGGGGCUAGCGUUGUCCGGAAUCAUUGGGCGUAAAGAGCGUGUAGGCGGUCCGGUAAGUCCGCUGUGAAAGUCGGGGGCUCAACCCUCGAAUGCCGGUGGAUACUGUCGGGCUAGAGUGCGGAAGAGGAGUGUGGAAUUCCUGGUGUAGCGGUGAAAUGCGCAGAUAUCAGGAGGAACACCAAUUGCGAAGGCAGCACUCUGGGACGUGACUGACGCUGAGACGCGAAAGCGUGGGGAGCAAACAGG